AUCAUUUGAAAGUCCCUUCAAGUUGAAAAAGAACAUGCAUUCUUAUUUUGGCCACACCUGGCGUACUAGUAAAUCAACUGUGAUCAGAUUGGUUAAAAAAAUAGAGGCUGCGUGUGAUUUCAGUUCCGGUUCAAUGCAUUUGUAAUGAGGGGGCGCACUUCUGUGCAGUGUGCACAUUAGUCGUCGUUGCCAGAAGGCUGCACCCGACAGCCAAGGGAUUUACAUGUGGCAUAGCAAGUCUCUGAAGCAGUGUCUCACACUCGAGUCCUGACCGAGGGCCUUGAAACUGGCAUGCCUGUUCAAAACAUCUCCAGGACAACAAGGUUAUUUUGUGUUGACGUGUAUUGAAUUCUUAAGGGCAAAGAAGAUGAAGGAGAAUGCGUGCAGUGGGCUGAAUGGAGAAUUCGUGAAUCAAAGGCAACACCAUCAAAUGCAUUAUGAAAUUAAGCACUAUCAGGUUGUCAAGGCUGUAGCUCAGCGGGUACAUGGUCCUGGAUACCAGAUUUUUUUGAAAACUAUUUAUAUAUGGAAUCUGAAUGCACUCUCCAAUAAAUGCUGCAGUUCUUUGUUGAUUUAGGUACAAAAAAAGGCAAAGCCCAUUUCACAUAUCCCAUCGAUUAAAUGCACCUCUGCUGUUUGGGUCUAAAUUUUGCCAUCACUAUUUCUUGUUACGGAGAUGAAGACAACUACUUGCCUCUUUCAUGCAUCUGCUUUGUCCACAUCUAUGUUUGGGGAAUGUAAUUUGAAGCCAUUCCGUAAGUGUUUGCUAUGCCUCAUUGUUUAUUUUACGGCAUACUACAUUGGCACACUUGGGAUUUAUAUUUUUACUUUAUUCAAUUUCUUCCCUUCUACAAUGCGGCAGCAUAAUCAUUACUACAGAUUUUUUUUCCCCACUUUAUUCCACUUUAUUCUGUUUUUUGGGCAUUUCCUACCAGUGCAAAGAUGUUUAAAUUAGUCACUGAAAGCAGUGUUCUGAAAUGAUAUCAAAAAUAGUUGUGGCCUGAAUAUGUAAGCAUGGCCUUCACAUAUUUUUUGUAAAGCUGUACAUGUCUUUAAAGAUAGAAAGACACAUUUACAUUUCCCAGUGCAAAUGGUUUUUUGAAUAAGUUUCUGAAAGUAGUGCUUUGAGAUGUUUGAGAUAACAAACAUUUAAUGUGUUGGAAAUAUUUUUGGUCGCUGUGUCAUAAUUCAGCUUAAUAUUUAAUACAUUGUUUCUUAUGGCAUAUUAACAAGAAAAUGUCAAACUGGGACUGAAUGUUGAAAAGGUUGCUGACCCCUGGUUACUGUAUUCCCUCUCCCGCUCCAUUACAUGUAUGUUCGUUUAUUUCAAGUUAACUUGUUUUUCUGUGUUAUUACAACCUUGCAACACAUUUCCAUUAAUGUAGUUUGUUUAUUCCUUAACAGUUUUCAAAAAACACAAUCAAAUGGGUACUAAAACCUUAA